UGAUCGCAAAUAUCGAAUACAAUAUCAGUUGGUAACGUGGGUAGUCGUGUGCAGAAUGUUUGAUGAUGCGUAAUUAUAUUGAAGCACUUUAUCGCGUAAUCAGGUUACAUGUUAGGGUAGUAUUACAUGCCAGGAAUAGAGCAUUAAAAUAAUAAAGUACCCUUAAAUGUACAUGUCAUUGAUAGGAAAGGAUAUCUUGAUUCCUAAGUUUAUGAUCGCUCAGUGGAUAAAAGCUAUCGGAGAAAAAAGAUAUAGAGAGAAAACGCUACAAGGAUAUUUUUCCAAACGAUCAGUUGUAUAUGUUGCGGCACUGCAGAUGCCUUCUUAAGAUCUUCAACAUACUGGAGAAAGGUGUCAUCGUCACGAUGACCCACCACGCCUGAUGAGUUUCACCAAAGCACGAUGAUCUCAGUGCGGGAAAAAUACGAUCAAAAUAUUUAUGAUUUUGUUGUUGUAAGUGCCAAAAGUCGCAAAGGCUCUCUUUUAUAUAAUUCAUUCAUUUUAUACUAUAUGUGUAUAUCAAAUACAUAGUUUCGA